GACGAACGCUGGCGGCGUGCCUAAUACAUGCAAGUCGAACGGAGUGGCGCACGGGUGAGUAAUGUAUAGCUAAUCUGCUCUACACUAGAGGAAAAUAACUGGUAAAGGCUUCUAAUACUCCAUAGUGUAGGAUGAGUCUAUAUUGUAUCAGCUAGUUGGUGAGGUAAUGGCUCACCAAGGCUAUGACGCAUAACUGGUCUGAGAGGAUGAUCAGCAACACUGGACCUGAGACACGGUCCAGAAACCUACGAGAAGCAGCAGUAGGGAAUAUUUCUCACUGGGGGACAGCCUGAAGCGGCAACGGCGCGUGGAGGAUGACACUUGUCGGAGCGUAAACUCCUUUUAUGAGGGAAGCGGUACCUAACGAAUAAGCACCGGCUAACUCCGUGCCAGCAGCCGCGGUAAUAC
rnacentral:rRNA from 1 species